rnacentral:rRNA from 1 species
CGGCGUGCCUAAUACAUGCAAGUCGAACGAAUCUUCUUCGGAAGAUGAGUGGCGAACGGGUGAGUAAUACAUAGGUAACCUGCCCCUGUGCGGGGGAUAACAGGAGGAAACUCCUGCUAAUACCGCAUAGCCAUGAGCACCGCAUGGAGCUCAUGCCAAAUAUCCUUCAGGGGAUAGCGCAGGGAUGGACCUAUGGCGCAUUAGCUAGUUGGCGGGGCAACGGCCCACCAAGGCAACGAUGCGUAGCCGGCCUGAGAGGGCGGACGGCCACAUUGGGACUGAGACACGGCCCAGACUCCUACGGGAGGCAGCAGUAGGGAAUUUUCGGCAAUGGGGGAAACCCUGACCGAGCAACGCCGCGUGAGCGAAGAAGGCCUUCGGGUCGUAAAGCUCUGUUGUAAAGGAAGAACGUCGCAUGCAGGAAAUGGUGUGCGAGUGACGGUACUUUACCAGAAAGCCACGGCUAACUCCGUGCCAGCAGCCGCGGUAAUACGGAAGGUCCGGGCGUUAUCCGGAUUUAUUGGGCGUAAAGAGGGAGCAGGCGGCCGCAAGGGUCUGUGGUGAAAGACCGAAGCUAAACUUCGGUAAGCCAUGGAAACCGGGCGGCUAGAGUGCGGAAGAGGAUCGUGGAGUUCCAUGUGUAGCGGUGAAAUGCGUAGAUAUAUGGAGGAACACCAGUGGCGAAGGCGACGGUCUGGGCCGCAACUGACGCUCAUUCCCGAAAGCGUGGGGAGCAAAUAGGAUUAGAUACCCUAGUAGUCCACGCCGUAAACGAUGGUCACUAAGUGUCGGGGGUCAAACCCCGGUGCUGCAGUCAACGCAAUAAGUGACCCGCCUGAGUAGUACGUUCGCAAGAAUGCAACUCAAAGGAAU